UACGUACUUCCUCCGUCCGAAAAAACUUAUCCCUCAAAUGGAUGUAUGUAGCAUCAAGUUAGUGCUAGAUACAUCCAUUUGAGGGACAAGCUUUUUUCGGCGGAGGGAGUAUAAC
rnacentral:pre_miRNA from 1 species